AAUACCUCUUCACUACAAUUCAUAUAACAAACUUACACAUUAACUUUUCUAAUUAAAUCCAUCAUCAUGAAUACCAAACUCAUUCUAGCCCUCUUGUUUUGCUUCCUCCUCAUUGCAUCCAAUGAGAUGCAAGUUGGAGAAGCAAAAGUAUGUCAAAGGCGGAGCAAGACAUGGUCAGGGCCAUGUAUUAACACAGGGAAUUGCAGCCGUCAAUGCAAGGAACAAGAGGAUGCUCGUUUUGGAGCUUGUCACAGAAGUGGCUUUGGAUUUGCUUGCUUUUGCUAUUUCAAAUGCUAAAUUAUUUCUAU